AGCAGUAUGGUGUAAUGAUGCACCCAGGAAUUUCUUAUUAAUGUGAUGAUAGUGUAAUCCUGAGGUCCUUGUUCGAAUCAAGGUGCUGCUC